rnacentral:rRNA from 1 species
UACGUAGGGUCCGAGCGUUGUCCGGAAUUAUUGGGCGUAAAGAGCUCGUAGGCGGUUUGUCGCGUCUGCUGUGAAAUCCCGAGGCUCAACCUCGGGUCUGCAGUGGGUACGGGCAGACUGGAGUGCGGUAGGGGAGAAUGGAAUUCCUGGUGUAGCGGUGGAAUGCGCAGAUAUCGGGAGGAACACCGGUGGCGAAGGCGGCUCGCUGGGCCGUUGCUGACGCUGAUGCGCGAAAGCGUGGGGAGCAAACAGG